rnacentral:rRNA from 1 species
AUUGAACGCUGGCGGCAUGCUUUACACAUGCAAGUCGAACGGCAGCACAGGGAGCUUGCUCCUGGGUGGCGAGUGGCGAACGGGUGAGUAAUGUAUCGGAACGUGCCUGGUAGUGGGGGAUAACUACUCGAAAGAGUGGCUAAUACCGCAUGAGAUCUUUGGAUGAAAGCGGGGGACCUUCGGGCCUCGUGCUACUGGAGCGGCCGGUAUCAGAUUAGGUGGUUGGUGGGGUAACGGCCUACCAAGCCUGCGAUCUGUAGCUGGUCUGAGAGGACGACCAGCCACACUGGGACUGAGACACGGCCCAGACUCCUACGGGAGGCAGCAGUGGGGAAUUUUGGACAAUGGGCGCAAGCCUGAUCCAGCAAUGCCGCGUGCAGGACGAAGGCCUUCGGGUUGUAAACUGCUUUUGUACAGAACGAAAAGUCUCUGGCUAAUAUCUAGAGAUCAUGACGGUACUGGAAGAAUAAGCACCGGCUAACUACGUG